AAGUCGUAACAAGGUUUCCGCAGGUGAACCUGCGGAAGGAUCAUUAACACGUAUCCAAACGUUAAACCCCCCGCUUCGUUGGAAAGUAGCAGGCACAGCAGGUAAAUCAUCGCCGAACAGUUUUGAUUCCGUCUACCUGGUGUUGUUCGAGUUUGGUGGCCGCACAAUUAAGCGCAGGCCCGUUUUCAUGCAAAGGGGUGAUCAGGGGGGCUCGCGCCCUGCGGCCAGGUCGCUGGCCGUGAUGGCCUCUAGCGAACGUUACUGCGCACUUGCAGACAUUAACAAGCAGAGGGAUGCAAGGCCUCCUCUCACACUGGAUAUCUUGGUUCUC
rnacentral:misc_RNA from 1 species